AAAGCGUGCGUAGGCGGCUUUUAAGUCGGAUGUGAAAUCCCUGAGCUUAACUUAGGAAUUGCAUUCGAUACUGGAAAGCUAGAGUAUGGGAGAGGAUGGUAGAAUUCCAGGUGUAGCGGUGAAAUGCGUAGAGAUCUGGAGGAAUACCGAUGGCGAAGGCAGCCAUCUGGCCUAAUACUGACGCUGAGGUACGAAAGCAUGGGGAGCAAACAGGAUUAGAUACCCUGGUAGUCCAUGCCGUAAACGAUGUCUACUAGCCGUUGGGGCCUUUGAGGCUUUAGUGGCGCAGCUAACGCGAUAAGUAGACCGCCUGGGGAGUACGGUCGCAAGACUAAAACUCAAAUGAAUUGACGGGGGCCCGCACAAGCGGUGGAGCAUGUGGUUUAAUUCGAUGCAACGCGAAGAACCUUACCUGGCCUUGACAUACUAAGAACUUUCCAGAGAUGGAUUGGUGCCUUCGGGAACUUAGAUACAGGUGCUGCAUGGCUGUCGUCAGCUCGUGUCGUGAGAUGUUGGGUUAAGUCCCGCAACGAGCGCAACCCUUUUCCUUAUUUGCCAGCGGGUUAAGCCGGGAACUUUAAGGAUACUGCCAGUGACAAACUGGAGGAAGGCGGGGACGACGUCAAGUCAUCAUGGCCCUUACGGCCAGGGCUACACACGUGCUACAAUGGUCGGUACAAAGGGUUGCUACCUCGCGAGAGGAUGCUAAUCUCAAAAAGCCGAUCGUAGUCCGGAUCGCAGUCUGCAACUCGACUGCGUGAAGUCGGAAUC
rnacentral:rRNA from 1 species